rnacentral:rRNA from 1 species
CACGUAGGGCGCAAGCGUUGUCCGGAAUUAUUGGGCGUAAAGAGCUCGUAGGCGGUCUGUUGCGUCCGCUGUGAAAACUCGGGGCUUAACCCCGAGCCUGCAGUGGAUACGGGCAGACUAGAGGUAGGUAGGGGAGAAUGGAGUUCCCGGUGUAGCGGUGAAAUGCGCAGAUAUCGGGAGGAACACCAAUGGCGAAGGCAGCUCGCUGGGACGGUACUGACGCUGAGGCGCGAAAGCGUGGGGAGCAAACAGG